rnacentral:lncRNA from 13 species
UGGCAGGAAGAACAGUUCUACCCUGGGAACCGAGUGCUUCAUUGCCCUCCUGGUGGAGGUCCCAAGAUGGCACAGAGAGACCAGAUGAGUUCUCCUGAAGACCCUUCAGUAUUUCCUCCAAGCUUCAUUUCCCAGACUCCCGUAUUCUCCAAGUCACCAGAGAAUGGCAUUUUGUUUUGACCGAAGAUUGUCGAAACAACAACAAUGGUGGCACCUGUUAGUUGGUAUCCAAGGUGUCAUGACAAGAAAUUUCACACUUGACUCUCCAUUUAAAAGGUUCACAGCAAAACUGAAAGGAGGAGGAUACAGAGAUUUUCCACAUUUUCUCUGUCCCUACAUGUGCAUAGCUUCUGUAAUUAUCCACAUCCCCC